CUCUGUCAUUUUGCAAAGACCCCAGAUUAGGACUAGUUCGCUUCCAGUGCAAGGUAGUUUUAACUUACCUGAACAUGUCCCUCGCGGCCAACGCCAUUUUCUACUGCAAGGUCCUCUUCAGCUCCUGGCGCUUAGUCUGCAAGGAGCGGAUGUCCAUGGAGGAUCCCUCAGCCAUCACUAGUGACGGCUGAUGGCUUGACUGCGGUAGCUCCGCCUUUGUCAAGCAUAGGAAAAAUACAUAAGACUAAGUAGUCCAGCCCUGGUUUGUCUUAUGAGAUAUUUUGACUGGGUUGGAAUUUCAAUCUUUAUGCCCUUCUAGUCUGAUCUCUGAGGUGAAGAGGCAGCUCAGAAUGGUC